rnacentral:SRP_RNA from 1 species
GCUGGGCAUGGUGGCUCAUGCCUGUAAUCCCAGCACUUUAGGAGGCUGAGGUGGGUGGAUCACUUGAGGUCAGGAGUUCAAGAUCAGCCUGGCCAACAUGGUGAAACCCCAUCUCUA